UACGUAGGGUGCAAGCGUUACUCGGAAUUACUGGGCGUAAAGCGUGCGCAGGCGGUGAUGUAAGACAGUUGUGAAAUCCCCGGGCUCAACCUGGGAACUGCAUCUGUGACUGCAUUGCUGGAGUGCGGCAGAGGGGGAUGGAAUUCCGCGUGUAGCAGUGAAAUGCGUAGAUAUGCGGAGGAAUACCGAUGGCGAAGGCAGGUCUCUGGGCCAAUACUGACGCUCAUGCACGAAAGCGUGGGGAGCAAACAGG
rnacentral:rRNA from 1 species